GUUAAGUUAUAUAUAAUUUUGUAUUCAUCUUAAGUUUUAUCCAUAGAUAGUCCUUAAAAGAAAGCAAUACAGAAAAGCAAAUUUUGAAAUGAGUUUACAAUAAUCCUAUACAGCGUAGAUAUGAGCAAAAUGUUGUCUUUCGAUUUUUUUUUUCCAAACACAUUUUAGGGUCUGUGUCUACAGUUACCACAAAUCAAAUAGCAAUAGACAGAAUUAAGUUUUAAGAUCUGGGGCAGUUUGUCACUGUGUUAAGAGUUAUAGAAUGGGAGAAAGAAGCCCUGAGAUCUACUUCUGCUCUGUUCUUUAGAAAAUAAGACAGCUGGAUUCUAACAUCUUUAGUAUUUCUGCAGCUUUAUACUUCUAAGCUAUAAGAAAGACGUUUCAGACGUUAGCUGAAAGGCUAGUAAAACAAAGGUUCAUUCAAAAAUAUGAAUGUUAUUCAACAGCUUUUGAACAAUUUGUUUUGAUUAAAUGCUUUCCAUCUCAUUAAAAAGUCUGGCACCUCCUCCCUAUUCCUUGUCUAAUUUGCACAAAAAUUCACUUACGCUCUUUUAUGGAACGUGUAGCGUUUUGUGUUUUGUGUUUUGAAUACAGUGACGCGUGUACAUUAGCUAUCUUCCCUCCAGCAGCCCAGGGACCGUACCACACUGCUCAGCUUUGUAAACCACAACCACGGUGGGCAUUGUGUCUUACACAAAAUGCUAAGCAAACAUUUAUUAAAUAAUUGAUGGAACUAUUACAGAAGAUCUUAGCCAGGGAUUUGCUAGGUAAGCUACAGCAUUCAAAUUAUUCAUUUAUUCAUUCAACAAACACUUGCUGAAGGUGUAAUGUGCACCCGACUCUGGGCUGGAGGCUAAAGACGUAAAGGUAAACACAGUGGCUGGAAGUAAAGGAUCUCAUAAAAUAGCAGGCUGACAUUUAAUGAAAAAAUUCCCAUACAGUGUGAUGUAUCAGCAGCGUAGGAAGCGAUGGCCUACGGAUGACAGUAAAGGGUCCGUGGACCAGAGAUUGUUACUUCCGAGAAGGGUAUUGAAGGAAUGCUACGUGUCUGUGAAGCAGACCCAUGCGCUUGCAGUGUGUGUGUGGGUGUGUGUAUUGAUUCCAGGCAAAGAGAGUGAUCUGGGCUUUCGGAGAGGUGAGAAGCAGCAUGGCACGUCUGGGGCAGGCUUGGUGGAGGAGAUGAUACACAGCACAGAGGCGGGGAAGAGGGUGGUGACAGAUGAGUCUGAGUAGUUGUGGGCAGAGCUACAACUGUAAGUCACGGGGCAACAUGACAGGUUUUAAUCAGGGCGAGUGCCCAUCACUCCACUGGCUCUGUAGAGGAUGGUGUGGAGACAAGAGAUUCCAGAACAAGGAAGACCCGCUUCUAAGUCCGGGUGAGGUCCCCAGCACCAGGGCUCCGCUGGGGUCCGAGGUGCCCGGACUCAGCAGCUGGCCCCCCAGCCGCUUACCGCUCUGACACAGAAAACGUUAGGUUUUCACGUGCAUUAACUUGGCUGGAUAUUUUUCUAGAAGAACAUUUGAAACUUAAACAGUAAAAAUUAUGACCAUGAAGCUUUGUGGAGAAGUCCACAAGUGAUGGUCAUAGGAGAGAAAAAAACUGGAAAAAGAAAGACAUGCAUACUCUAUCCUUGCUAAUGAGUAAAACCUGUAGGGCGCGGUGAAAAGAGUUUCACGUCCCUACAUGUCAAGUCUGUCAUAAGAGAACAUUUCUGAAAGAAUUCAAAAUGUACCCCUUCAGCUUAGUUGACUUGAUUAGAUAUGAACUGAAUUAUCGACGUCCACGUAUCUCUUUGUGUGCAUGUGGUCAUUUUAGAUUUAUUUUACCCUGCAAAUGCAGUCUGUAGCAUUCCCCAGAACCUGUACUUGGGAGACGGCAGUGAGCUUCGCGCGGUAGCCCACAGAGAAAAGUGCACAUAAUCUGAGUGUAAACAGCUUGACAAAUUUCCACUGUGGUAUCCAGCAUCCCCAUCAAGAGACAUAACAUUACCAGCAUCUGGAAGCUCUGCUUAUGUUUCUUUCCAGAUGCUUCUCCCACUUCUAAGUGACAACGAAACUUCUGGAGGAUGGAAACCAUAUGCCCUAAGGAGUGAGCCAAAGUGCUGGAGUGCGCAAAAGCGAAAAGAAUGGGUAAUGCACAGACGGACAACGCACACAUCUCAGAAAGCCAACACAGGUGCAGGUGAACUGAGAAUAGCGGAUGGUCAGAGAAGACCAGUAUGGUGAGGGGUCAGUUAACCAUAAAAAUUGUAGAUGUUAUAGGUGAAAGAAACAUGAGCGAUAGGUUGAAAAGUCGGUCAGCUAGUAAAAGGUAGAGAAGGGCAGGCUCAAGGUCAGAUGGUGUGGAUGUGCCUGUUUGGACUCACAGUAGAACAACUUUUAAAUUGGAUAUGAAUGUCAUUAGAGGGCAGUAGUUUUCAGUUGAACACCAUCGCCAAACCUUCCUAUUAUCUUUUGUUCAUUGAUGUUUCAUCUCUGCCUCUUGAAAACAUUUGUGCUUAUAACCCUUGACUAGUUAAAUCAUUUUAUUUUAUAGAUGAGAUCCUGAGCCUGGAAAGUGGCACGUCCAGCUUAAUGAAGCAUGUCCUUCUUGUCAUCAUUCUCAGAAAGCACCUCCUCAUAUUAGUUCAUAACCUAUUCAUCAUUAGUUUACCCAGUGGUUAUUUCACUGCACAACAUGCUUUAUAAAACAAAACAAAACUUUUCUUUCCACUAGACUGUCUCUUUCCCCACCCACAAAAGACUAGACAUUUUUGUUUUAGGCGAUUGAUACAAGGCCAACGGGCAGAAAACAUGAAACAGAUUUCAACCUAACUACAGUAAUUAACAAUCUAUAAAUUUCAGCUGUCUCAGAAAGGGUUUUGGAAUAACACACGCUCGGGCAUGGGAAGUGUUCAAGCCAAGAUUAGGGAGACUGAAGAAGGAAAUCCUAUAUUUAAUGGGAGUUUGACUCUGAUAUCUCUAAAUUGCCAUCUGAGUUAAGAAACAUAUAGAAGUCCUGAUCUGGAUCUGUAGAACCUGUAAAUUUAGCAUCCGUACGCCUACCUCAGAAUCGAUC